rnacentral:rRNA from 1 species
UACGAAGGGUGCAAGCGUUAUUCGGAAUCACUGGGCGUAAAGGGUGUGUAGGCGGCCCUGCAAGUCGGAUGUGAAAUCCCACGGCUCAACCAUGGAAGUGCAUUCGAAACUGCAGAGCUAGAGUCCUGGAGAGGAAGGUGGAAUGCUUGGUGUAGAGGUGAAAUUCGUAGAUAUCAAGCGGAACACCGGUGGCGAAGGCGGCCUUCUGGACAGUGACUGACGCUGAGACGCGAAAGCGUGGGGAGCAAACAGG